rnacentral:lncRNA from 1 species
AUCCCAGCACUUUGGGAGGCCGAGGCGGGUGGAUCACCUGAGGUCAGGACUUCAAGACCAGCCUGGCCAACAUGGUGAAAUCCCGUCUCUAUAAAAAUGCAAAAAUGAGCCGGGCUUGGUAGCUCACGCCUGUAAUUCCAGCACUUUGGGAGGCUGAGGCGGGCGGAUCACCUGAGGCCGGGAGUUGGAGACCAGCCUGACCAAGAUGGAAAAACAGAAAUAGCGAAUGAAUGAUGUACGCGUGUAGGAAACAGCGGGCUCGGACGCCUGGCUUCUCCGGCUGCCCUAACGCCCUCCAGCUCCACCACCUAUCACCUUGAACCUCAGAAACCGCCUCUCUGGGUGCGGGUGGGGCAAAGGCUCCUUCUCCGUGGGGUAACCGCUCUGGGUGCUCUUCCUGAGCUCUAGCUGGCUUGCCCAACUACCAGCUCCACCCCUCCACCCUGCCUCCCCUAGGUAUUCCUAGGGGAUUUUUUUUUUUUUUUUUUUUUUUGAGACAGAGUUUCUCUCUCG